AAAGAGAGCCGACCAGAGUUGUCAAUCACACCUUGUUUAACACACCUUUCUUACAUAUACAUAUGUAUUUUGAAAAUGAACGCUCUACGUCACAAGACUUUGUUGGACAGAAUUUAAAAGAUGACAACUCUCCAGGUGAAAAUAUUGCAACAUUUGAUUGAAGUGUUGCUUCACACAAAAUAUUUUUGUUGCUGAUAUUGAGCAGCCACAAUAGAUGCAGAAUAAAAUUCCCUGCUCAGUUCGCAACACACUGUGAAACUGUUAAACAGCUUUCGCUAAAAACGAAACAUUUUUAUUGAAUUUUUCAACCACCAAAACCGCAUAUUAAAAUUGUUUACUAGAAAAUAAGGGGCCUUCCCGUUGUUUGUCAGCUUUUUCUUUUUGUCAAUUAAACAAACCUCGCCAGCAACCCUGGCUAUCUCCGCAAAUGUAUUGUCCGAUGAAAUUAUGCGAAAAUUAAUUAACUUAUUAGCAAAAUAAUAUUUUUUUUUUUGUUGCAUUUUUAUGCCUUUUCGGCCAAAAUAUGCAUUUCGUGUCAUAAUAUGCAUUUGUAUAUUUUUGUCUUCCCUAUUUAUAACACAAAUCUGUGACUGAUAUUGUUUUACGGUUCAUUGAUGAGCUUUGUUUGUACGACUGUGUGCACAUGUAGUCUAUCAUAAUAUACAACAAAUUUAUAAUACAUUUAUGCACAUACAUACAUAUGUAUGUAUGUAUAUGCUUGCAGACAUUUUCACACCUUUAGUUUGGGUAUCAUUUCGUUUCGUGUAUUGUAAAAACUCCUUAAAUAUAUAUGAAGUGUAUAUUCUCAGUAAAAAUAUAUAUAUCAAU